UACGUAGGGGGCAAGCGUUGUCCGGAUUUAUUGGGCGUAAAGAGCGCGUAGGCGGUAUGACAAGUCAGAUGUGAAAGAGGCCGGCUUAACCGGCAAGGGUCAUUUGAAACUGUCAGACUAGAGUGCAGCAGAGGAUAGUGGAAUUCCCGGUGUAGUGGUGAAAUGCGUAGAUAUCGGGAGGAACACCAGUGGCGAAGGCGACUAUCUGGGCUGCAACUGACGCUGAGGCGCGAAGGCUAGGGUAGCAAACAGG
rnacentral:rRNA from 1 species